UAGAACGCUGAAGGAGGAGCUUGCUUCUCUGGAUGAGUUGCGAACGGGUGAGUAACGCGUAGGUAACCUGCCUGGUAGCGGGGGAUAACUAUUGGAAACGAUAGCUAAUACCGCAUAAUAGCAGUUAUUGCAUGAUAACUGUUUGAAAGGUGCAAUUGCACCACUACCAGAUGGACCUGCGUUGUAUUAGCUAGUUGGUGGGGUAACGGCUCACCAAGGCGACGAUACAUAGCCGACCUGAGAGGGUGAUCGGCCACACUGGGACUGAGACACGGCCCAGACUCCUACGGGAGGCAGCAGUAGGGAAUCUUCGGCAAUGGACGGAAGUCUGACCGAGCAACGCCGCGUGAGUGAAGAAGGUUUUCGGAUCGUAAAGCUCUGUUGUAAGAGAAGAACGAGUGUGAGAGUGGAAAGUUCACACUGUGACGGUAUCUUACCAGAAAGGGACGGCUAACUACGUGCCAGCAGCCGCGGUAAUACGUAGGUCCCGAGCGUUGUCCGGAUUUAUUGGGCGUAAAGCGAGCGCAGGCGGUUAGAUAAGUCUGAAGUUAAAGGCUGUGGCUUAACCAUAGUACGCUUUGGAAACUGUUUAACUUGAGUGCAGAAGGGGAGAGUGGAAUUCCAUGUGUAGCGGUGAAAUGCGUAGAUAUAUGGAGGAACACCGGUGGCGAAAGCGGCUCUCUGGUCUGUAACUGACGCUGAGGCUCGAAAGCGUGGGGAGCAAACAGGAUU
rnacentral:rRNA from 1 species